GUCCAAGGUGAUUCCCUCUCCAAGGGGCUAGCUGUGCCCUUUUCAGGAACGUAGCAACUUGGAAGAAAACCAGGCAUGCCUGAGUCUCUGGUAAACAAGGGACACUUGUUUCCUUUGCCUUCCUUUGGCUGCCGACAUGG
ensembl:snoRNA